rfam:Acidobacteriales bacterium 13_1_40CM_3_55_5 13_1_40cm_3_scaffold_2860, whole genome shotgun sequence.
CCCAGCGCUGAAGCGCUGGGCUUAAUUGUUUCGUCCUCCGGACU